rnacentral:lncRNA from 1 species
ACCUACACCACGGUGCCCCGCGUCGCCUUCUACGCCGGCCUCAAGAACCCGCACGAGGGCUACGAGAUCCUCAAGUUCGACGACGUGGUCACCAACCUGGGCAACAGCUACGACGCCGCCUCGGGCAAGUUCACCUGCGCCAUCGCCGGCACCUACUUCUUCACCUACCACGUCCUCAUGCGCGGCGGCGACGGCACCAGCAUGUGGGCCGACCUCUGCAAGAACGGCCAGGUAAGGGGCGCCGCCGGGCCGCUCGCCUGCCUGCCUGCCUGCCUGCCUGCCUGCCUGCUGCUGCCUGCCCCGCCGGGCCCCCUGCUGAGGCGCCCGCAGCCGCGUCGCCUCCCUCGCCCCGGAGAUGCGCUCCGGGUGCACCCUGGGGUGCCCUGUCCUUCUCCCAGCCAUGGAGAUGUGCUCUGGGUGCACCCUGGGGUGCCCUGUCCUUCUCCCAGUCAUGGAGAUGUGUUCUGGGUGCACCUCCAGGAUGCCCUGUCCUUCUCCUGCCUCCAGAGAUGUGCUCCAGAUGCACCCCGAGGUGCCCUGUCCUUCUCCCAGCUCCAGAGAUGCGCUCUGGAUACACCCUGGGGUGCCCUGUCCUUCUCCCAGCUCUGGAGAUGCGUUUUGGGUGCAUCCUGGGGUGCCCUGUCCUUCUCCUGGCCCUGGAGAUGUGCUCUGGGUGCACCUCCAGGAUGCCCUGUCCUUCCAGACCUGGAGAUGCACUCUGGGUGCACCCUGGGGUGCCCUGUCCUUCUCCCAGCUCCAGAGAUGCGUCUUGGGUGCACCCUGGGGUGCCCUGUCCUUCCUUCCAGCCAUGGAGACACACUCCAGCUGCGUCCCCAGUGUGCCCUGUCCUUCUCCCGCCUCCGGAGACGCGCUCCGGGUGCACCUCCAGGGUGCCCUGGCCUUCCCCCAGCUCCGGAGACGGGUCCCGCCGUGUCCCCGGGGGCGUGCUGCCCCCCGCGGCGGCUCCAGCCCCACCGGCCCCCCACCCUGGAAAAUCCCUGCGGCCGCUCUGCCGCGGCAGGGAGAGCACCCGGAGCGGGGGACCCGCGGGGGCCGGAGGAUGGCAAUCGCCUCGGCCGCCGCCUGCUCCUGACGCCGGAACCCGAGCCCACCCGCCUCCCCCUGCCCUCCCAUCCCGGCCGGCGUGGGCUUGAUUUUUUUAUCCGUUUUAUUUUCUUUUCUUUUAAUUAUUUUUAUUUAGGCAAAGCCCGGGGGGGGCCGGGCCCGGCCCGCCGGGGCGCUCGAGCCAGCGCGGCCAUCUAA